GUUCAAAUUACAUUGUUUCUCUGUUGAAAAUACACUGUUAUAUAUUAAAAUUUCUUUCCUUUAGAUAAGAAAUCAUAUUUGCACGUGUUUUUUGGGGGGGAGAUGGGAUUGAAGGAGGCACCUGGUUAUGUUGUUGUUGUUGUUGUCAAUGAAAUGAAUUGAAAAUGAGAAGGUUGGUUGGGAUGAUCUCCGUGGUCUUUUCCCACCUCCAUGAGCAGUGUUUGCUUUCCCAGCUCCUUCCCCGGCAGCCCACAGCAGACGUCUGGGGGGAGCAGCACUGCUUGCCUCUUGGAGGGCGAUUUCAUGGCCAGGCUGGGAAUGUGCGCCGCGUCCCUCUGCCACGGGGCAGAGAUGCUGCUGGAGGAGGUUCUGCUCAUCUGCUGUGCUCCUGAGAUGGGCACCCUCUGCUCCGCCAAGGGGCCUGCUGCUGGCUCUGAGCGCUGUGUGCUGCUGGACAGCCGGCUGUGCUCGUGCUGUAGGGGUGCCAUCCGGUUUGGCAAGGGGCUGAACGGCCCCCAGCACCAUCUGCAGCACAGAGCAGGCGUGAGAACCCCAGAGCCCCAGAGCUGGCCUUGGGCAAACAGGGAAACCCAACCCACAGCGAGCCCUGCGCAUGGACAGGGCUGUGCCGGGCCAUGGCCAC
ensembl:lncRNA